UCUCGAGAGCUUUAGCAUGAGUGGU
rnacentral:sRNA from 1 species